GACGAACGCUGGCGGCGUGCUUAACACAUGCAAGUCGAACGGAAAGGCCCUGCUUGCAGGGUACUCGAGUGGCGAACGGGUGAGUAACACGUGGGUGAUCUGCCCUGCACUUCGGGAUAAGCCUGGGAAACUGGGUCUAAUACCGGAUAGGAGCCAUUUUUAGUGUGAUGGUUGGAAAGUUUUUUCGGUGUAGGAUGAGCUCGCGGCCUAUCAGCUUGUUGGUGGGGUAAUGGCCUACCAAGGCGGCGACGGGUAGCCGGCCUGAGAGGGUGGACGGCCACAUUGGGACUGAGAUACGGCCCAGACUCCUACGGAGGCAGCAGUGGGGAAUAUUGCACAAUGGGCGCAAGCCUGAUGCAGCGACGCCGCGUGGGGGAUGACGGCCUUCGGGUUGUAAACUCCUUUCGCUAGGGACGAAGCUUUUUGUGACGGUACCUAGAUAAGAAGCACCGGCUAACUACGUG
rnacentral:rRNA from 1 species